rnacentral:rRNA from 1 species
UACGAAGGGGGGCGAGCGUUGUUCGGAAUUACUGGGCGUAAAGGGCGCGCAGGCGGCUCUGAAAGUCAGAUGUGAAAGCCCCGGGCUUAACCUGGGAAUUGCAUUUGAUACUCUGGAGCUUGAGUGUGGGAGAGGAGAGUGGAAUUCCCAGUGUAGAGGUGAAAUUCGUAGAUAUUGGGAAGAACACCGGUGGCGAAGGCGGCUCACUGGCUCAUUUUCUGACGCUCAGGCGCGACAGCGUGGGGAUCAAACAGG